GGAUGGGUAGGGGAGCGUCGUGUGCCGGGUGAAGCAGCCGCGGAAGCGAGUUGUGGACGGUUCACGAGUGAGAAUGCAGGCAUGAGUAGCGAUACACACGUGAGAAACGUGUGCGCCGAUUGACUAAGGGUUCCUGGGUCAAGCUGAUCUGCCCAGGGUAAGUCGGGACCUAAGGCGAGGCCGACAGGCGUAGUCGAUGGACAACCGGUUGAUAUUCCGGUACCCGCUUUGAAACGCCCAGUACUGAAUCAGGCGAUGCUAAGUCCGUGAAGCCGGCCCGAUCUCUUCGGAGUUGAGGGUAGUGGUGGAGCCGAUGAACCAGACUUGUAGUAGGUAAGCGAUGGGGUGACGCAGGAAGGUAGUCCAGCCCGGGCGGUGGUUGUCCCGGGGUAAGGGUGUAGGACGCACGGUAGGCAAAUCCGUCGUGCAUUGAAGUCUGAGACCUGAUGCCGAGCCGAUUGUGGUGAAGUGGAUGAUCCUAUGCUGUCGAGAAAAGCCUCUAGCGAGUUUCAUGGCGGCCCGUACCCUAAACCGACUCAGG
rnacentral:rRNA from 1 species